ensembl:lncRNA
GAGCUUUUAACCCCAAAUGAACCUAAUAACUUAUAACACAAAGAGUGAUGCUUAAUGGCCAUAAAAAUGGACAAAUCUUGAAAUUAUGGUUUAAAAUUCACUGCCACUGGCUGCCUUUUAGCAACAAUGAUCUCCUAAUGGAAAUGACACUCAAGAGCUGCACACAUUCAUCAGCUUAUCUUAUCUAGAAAUCAUUUGGUGAAUGCACAGGAAAUGGUUAAAUCUUUGAAAACAGAACUUCAGCACGUUUGCACUAAACAAACAAAUGCUAGCGACAGACAUGAAAAGCCUUAAGAAUGUCUGAACAUGCAAGAUACUGCUCAGCCUUCUGCUUUAUCUUCACCAUUGACUGUUUGUUGGUGACGCAUGUAAAGGCACAAGACUCUUCCAGUGAUGAAACAGAAAUCAAAUAUGCCGUCAUAGGAGCAGGAAUUGGCCUUUUCUUUUCCAUCUGCUUUCUGCUAAUCAAAAUGUACAUCAUCAAAAAGCAGGUGCAUGAUAAUGAAUUCUCAGACACAACACCAAGAAGAGCAUCUCCACGGAUCAUUGAUGUGGAGAGCAGGAGGGAAUGAAAUGUCUUCUGAGGAUUAAUUAUUACAGUUCUUUGUCAUUCUAUGGCAAUUUGAUACUUUUAUUUAUUAAAUGGUGACCAGUUUAGGCCUAUAAAACAAAUGAUUGUAAAAUCAGCAGAUCAGUGCCAUUGCUGUGCCUUCAUGAGGUCAUUUUGUGCUUUUUGACCCAUACCUGCUUAAAUGUGAAUAAUAUAUAUACUGUAUUUGGAGCUAUAUAUUCAUUAAUUGUAACAUAAAAAAAAUACUGUUUGUAUCAAGA